UUUCUUUCUCUGUUCUGUAU
rnacentral:sRNA from 1 species